UUACUAAGAAAGUACUAAAAAUUGGUGCUAUGUUUUUAUGAUUAAAAAAAUCCUUCAAUAGUUGAGUUUAGAAGAAAGAGAUAACAUGGUGGCCAUGACUAUGAUAGAUGAAAUGGCUGCAUCUUCAAUCUUGGGCUUUCUCAUAUGAUAUGAAAUCUUAGGUAUCACAUUCUUCUUUAUUUCCUCUUUGGUUAAGUGAGCAUAUAUAAAGCUGGGUUGCAGUACCACAAAUCACCACUAGGUGCCACUACUUAACAUGACAGUAAAGAGUGAAAAAUGAACAAAUUUUCCUUCCUCCUUUCCUUUCCAAUUUCUGCUCACUGGGUGCCAAGCUCUGUGUUAGGCCUUGCAGCAAUAAACAAGACAAAGCCCCUGGGUUAGACCGACAACUCAUUACAAUAGGUUUGGAAGCAGGGAAUAUCUAUGCUACUGGAGGACCAGUUGGGCCUGUUGGGGUAAUGCAGCUGUGGCAUGAGGUGGCUUGAACCUGGGCAGGGACUUUGGGAAUGGAGAGGGAUUUUUGCUUUUGGAACCACUUGGUGGGUUCAUGUUUCUGUGGCGGCCAUGGAUCCAGAUGGCCCCACCUCCCUUGAUCACUGUCUACCAGGGGUUGUGAAAUGGUCACAUUCUAAUCCGUUGGGUUUGGUUCACACGGCAUUAUUCUUAUCAUCAGCAUUUAAAUGUGUAAUGGUCCAUUUAUUUCCAAUUGUUAGUUCCCUAUUAUAGUAUUGCAAUUUCAAAUCUGCCCCCUUCUCUUCAGAUAUGAAAUUCACAUUUCCAGGAACAAAUUAAUUAGACCAUUAGUGACUUAGAUUCCUAACCUGCUAAAAGGAAAAUUGUUUGACUAGAGUACCAUGUUCAAUUAAAGUCAGCAAAUAGGGCACUAGGGAGCAGAAGAAAAACCAGAAAUGAAAAAACUUGAAGCUUCUUCUCUGUCCAGUGGCAAGUUGCUCAUCAGUGUUGGGAAUUUCCCUAUAUUUCAUCAUGACCAAGCGCAAACAUAUGUGUCAAUCAACCUAUCACAAAAUGAAUGAUUAUUAAUAUAGAUUCAGAGCUUGCUGGCAAUCCUAAGAAGGGCUUGUUUGCAAUGUCUCUAUAGAAGCAUUACGUUUUAAUGGGUAUUACUUGCCAAAAUAAAAUACAGAUUUUUAAUAUUUACUGGAUGGAUACUGGCCCAUCUGAACCAGGUUAAAUUGGUGAAAUCUUCCUAUUCUCUCGAUAAAUACCUUCCCAAGCACCCUUUUCCUCCAGGAGAGACUUUCCCCAAGAGCACCCUAAGCCCACUCCCCUAUAAUCUGAUUAUAAAGAGGUUGCAUCUGGCAUGAAGAGGCUCCAGCUCCCCGCUCCAUCCCAAGGUGACUAGUCUUUGCCCUGAACCAUAAUGACUGUUAAAUACUUUGACCAGCAGCCCUGCCUUUAGGUGACAGUCUGUGGCCUCUGGGCUGGACCAUGCAGCCUGGCCUCUGGAGCAGGGCCAUCACAGAUGGCUUUGGUGUUUGGGUUGGUUUUUGUUUUUAACUUUUAAUUGGAAAAGCUAUUUUAUUUUCGGCAGUGUUUACAUUUCCAUAGCGCAGUGCUAACCCUGAGCAAUCUGGAGAGGAUUAGAUAAAAUUUUACAACUCCAGGGAAACAGAAAAUUAUUUUUUUUUUUAUUUUUGUGGUUCCAACACAUUAAAAUAAUGUUUUUUUUUUUUUUUUUUCCAACCAUUGAAAGCUACUCCAGGGACAUAGUUAAGCUCUUUAUAGUCAGCAUCAGGUAGCAAGCAGUACUGCUUUAAAAAAAAAAGAUAAUAAUACUAAACCUAUUUGUACUUUCUAAAAUCAAGCCUGUUUGCCUUUCCUUCACGAACAGUGCAUCUAUGGGAGACUCGAAGGCCCAUCUUAGAGGAACUUGUUCUUUCUCCUCCAAGAAAUUGUUUUGCAUCUAAGAGAAACACGUGUCCCGUUUUAAUUAGAAACUGGUGGGCACCAGGCUGGCUGGCUGGCUGCUCGGGCCGCACCGUGAACCGGAGGGCUGAGUGGAGGCCAGGGAGCCUGAGCGUAUCUUCAGGGAUUUCUUCCCACCUGCUGCUGGCGGAGGCGUUCUAGCCCUUGCCAUGCACCUGUCGCGGCACAUCCUCCACCCCCUCGGCACUCCCACCCUCACUGUCACCUGCCACGAGGCCAGGACGUGGCAGCGUGUUAGGUGUCCCAUGAGUCUCUCACUUGAUUAGUCAUCCUGGGAACACACUCCGGGGAAGUGGUAAAGGGAGUGAGGUAAGUAAGAGUUUGCCUUCCUCUCUGCGCUCCAGACCAGAAUUUGGUUUAGAGAAAGCAUGCUGGCCUCAGCACUGCCCGGGCAGAAGGACUCCAGGUGCCCACAGUGUCUACCAGUGACUCUGUAUGGGGAAGGGGAGGACAUUUCAGGUGCUGCCCUGACUGCGAUCGGCUGGAAAGCCUAGGCGGGUGGCCACUUAGAAGAGUCUUAAGAGGGUUAGAGUUUUGCUUGGAGUUUGAAACGCUGCACAAGGCCACCUUUUAAUAGUUACAAGGCCGCCUGUGACCCAGCACGGGGUGUCUGUCAUCUGAGGAGGAAGCAUGCUCUCCUCCCCCAGCCCAGGGCCGUGGCAUUUCCUCUCUUCAGUGUGUUUUUCAUGCCGCCAGAACAACUAAGCUCAAGGCCACCAUUUGCACAAUUCCAGGGAUUCUGCUACUUUGCCUUGGAGAAUCCAUGUGACUCACGUCACCCAGGGCUGUGCAAAGUGGUGGCCAUGUCCAAAUGCUUGCCUGCAGCAGGGUUUUGCCAGGUCACUCCUAUUUUUUAAGUCCUGCCUCAAUGUCACUGCUAGUUAAAGCAGACCCCUGCUAUUUUCUAUUACGUUAUCCUGUUCCCUGUCUUCGUAAAUGGUGACUCAUUUAUCAACGCCUGGAUUCCUACAUAUUUUUACAUUUUGAAAUAUUGUCUGUGUCCUCUCAACUCCAUGAUAGAGCAGAGAUUUUUGUUUUGUUUUGGCCACUGUUGGAUCCCUGGUGCCUUGGGCAGUGCUUAGCACAGUGCCACACCAAGUAUUUGUUGAAUGAAUAAAUGAGCAUUGCAAGUUUUUCCCCACGUGGCUGGUGAUUGGUUG